rnacentral:rRNA from 1 species
GCCAGACUCCUACGGGAGGCAGCAGUGGGGAAUAUUGCACAAUGGGGGGAACCCUGAUGCAGCGACGCCGCGUGGGUGAAGGAGCACCUCGGUGCGUAAAGCCCUCUCGGCAGGGAAGAAACAGACGGUACCUGGCUAAGAAGCCCCGGCUAACUACGUGCCAGCAGCCGCGGGAAUACGUAGGGGGCAAGCGUUAUCCGGAUUCACUGGGUGUAAAGGGAGCGUAGACGGCGACGCAAGUCUGGAGUGAAAGCCCGGGGCCCAACCCCGGGACUGCCCUUGGAACUGCAUGGCUGGAGUGCGGGAGGGGCAGGCGGAAUUCCUGGUGUAGCGGUGAAAUGCGUAGAUAUCAGGAGGAACACCGGCGGCGAAGGCGGCCUGCUGGACCGCGACUGACGUUGAGGCUCGAAAGCGUGGGGAGCGAACAGGAUUAGAUACCCCCGUAG